rnacentral:rRNA from 1 species
GACGAACGCUGGCGGCGUGCCUAAUACAUGCAAGUCGAGCGGACCAAACAGGAGCUUGCUCUUGUUUGGUUAGCGGCGGACGGGUGAGUAACACGUGGGUAACCUGCCCGUAAGACCGGGAUAACUCCGGGAAACCGGAGCUAAUACCGGAUAACACCGAAGACCGCAUGGUCUUUGGUUGAAAGGCGGCUUCGGCUGCCACUUACGGAUGGGCCCGCGGCGCCUUAGCUAGUUGGUGAGGUAACGGCUCACCAAGGCGACGAUGCGUAGCCGGCCUGGGGGGGGGGACGGCCCACAUGGGACCGAGGCAAGGCCCCGGCCCCUAAGGGGAGCAGCCAGAGGGAAACUUUCGGAAUGGACGAAAGUCUGACGGAGCGACGCCGCGUGAGCGAAGAAGGUCUUCGGAUCGUAAAGCUCUGUUGUUAGGGAAGAAGAAGCGCCGUUCGAACAGGGCGGCGCGGUGACGGUACCUAACGAGAAAGCCCCGGCUAACUACGUG